rnacentral:rRNA from 1 species
GACGAACGCUGGCGGCGUGCCUAAUACAUGCAAGUCGAGCGGACUGAAUGGGAGCUUGCUCUUGUUCGGUCAGCGGCGGACGGGUGAGUAACACGUGGGCAACCUGCCCGCAAGACCGGGAUAACUCCGGGAAACCGGAGCUAAUACCGGAUAACACCGAAGACCGCAUGGUCUUUGGUUGAAAGGCGGCGCAAGCUGCCACUUGCGGAUGGGCCCGCGGCGCAUUAGCUAGUUGGUGAGGUAACGGCUCACCAAGGCGACGAUGCGUAGCCGGCCUGAGAGGGUGAGCGGCCACACUGGGACUGAGACACGGCCCAGACUCCUACGGGAGGCAGCAGUAGGGAAUCUUCCGCAAUGGGCGAAAGCCUGACGGAGAGACGCCGCGGGAGCGAAGAAGGCCUUCGGGUCGUAAAGCUCUGUUGUGAGGGACGAAGGAGCGCCGUUUGAAGAAGGCGGCGCGGUGACGGUACCUCACGAGGAAGCCCCGGCUAACUACGUG